CUAUACAAAAAAAAAAACAAAAAACAAGAGUAAAAUAAACACAGUUAAGUUAUGCCACUUGGCAGGGAGCCAACGUUGCCAUGGUCACUGGCUGCAGCUGUUACACUGGUGUGGUCACCUACAGUGACAUCUGCUGGUGCUUCCCAACAGCACUGUGAGGUCACUGUUUUUCAAACUUGAUUUCAAAGUGGGCAAUGGAACCAAUUGUAGUGGGUCCAACCAGCAUUAAAAAAAAUAAAAACAAGAAAGAAUAGAAACUAUCAGAGUACAUAACAAGUAGUAAAGGUAAAUAAAGAUAAAUACUGUUGUAUGAAUUCCUGAUUUUAAAAAUAUUCUUAUGUGUUCUGAUAUGUCUUUCUUUGUCAAAAAUCUUAGGAAGUCACCAUCCUCAGUGGGGACCUUUCUCAGACAAUCUAUUCUUCCACCGUUCUUGAGCAACCAAGAUAUUAAAAAGGAAGACUUGAAGUUUCUAUGCUGCUUGACCCAGAAGUUUCUCAUUAUGGAUGUGGGGUUCUUACUUUUGAAGCCUACUGUUUGCCCAGGGCUCAUCGAACUCUCUUUGUGUUGUCUGUGGGAAUUGGAGUUUGAAGACCUGGUGCAAGAACAUGCUGAUCCUCUGGUCACUGCUACUUCUGUGAGUGAUAAAGUCCUCGGUCUCUAACCCAAGAGUAUCUGGUGCUCUGCCAGCAUUCAGGAAACUCUAACAGGCUAAACUUGUUGGCUUGCAAGUAGAGUAAAAUCACAGAAUCUUCACAGUUCUUGCCACCUCAUCUAGCUGUGCCAAUUAAAUGAAAUAAUUUAUGUAAAGAACUUACUUAGGGAUUGGUACAAAGUAUAAAAUAUAUAUUGGAUAGUGAUGGUAGUACUGUCCUAGAUAAAAAAUAGACAUAAAUAGUCCAUUAAUAAUGUAGGUAAUUUGGUAUGUUACAUGAAUUACCUUCAGAUUGCUUUUGUUCAAGUGAUAAAUUACCGAAUAGUGAUAUUACUUUGUGUACGCUUCAGUUGGUUCAGUCGGAAUUCUUGGAGGGUCAAGUACAUUCUGAAAAGAUUGAAUUUAUGAAUAUUUUAUCUGUAUGGCUAAAGCAGGUGGUAUAGAAAUAACUCUGAAAAAGAUUUACAGUGUAACUUGAAUAUCAAUUUUGCAACAUUCAGUGUUGAAGGAGAAAAUUAAUAAACCAAUCAAACAAGCAUCA
rnacentral:lncRNA from 13 species